AUUGAACGCUGGCGGCAGGCCUAACACAUGCAAGUCGAACGAGUGGCGGACGGGUGAGUAAUGUCUGGGAAACUGCCCGAUGGAGGGGGAUAACUACUGGAAACGGUAGCUAAUACCGCAUACCAUCGGAGGUGCCCAGAUGGGAUUAGCUAGUAGGUGGGGUAACGGCUCACCUAGGCGACGAUCCCUAGCUGGUCUGAGAGGAUGACCAGCCACACGGGCACUGAGACACGGACCAGACUCCUACGGGAGGCAGCAGUGGGGAAUCUUGCGCAAUGGGCGCAAGCCGGAUGCAGCCAUGCCGCGUGUAUGAAGAAGGCCGUCGGGUUGUAAAGUACUUUUAUCGGGGAAGCGUUACUCGCAGAGGAAGCCCCGGCUAACUACGUGCCAGCAGCCGCGGUAAUAC
rnacentral:rRNA from 1 species